rnacentral:tRNA from 1 species
GGCUCCAUCGUCUAUCGGUUAGGACAACGCCCUUUCACGGCGUAAAGACGGGUUCGAUUCCCGUUGGGGCUACAA